GAACGAAGCGGUUACAGGGAUUCCCUUCGGGGCUGAACGGUAAUUGUCUGAGUGGCGGACGGGUGAGUAACGCGUGGGCAACCUGCCCCAUACCGGGGGAUAACAGCCGGAAACGGCUGCUAAUACCGCAUACGCCCAGGAGGCUGCAUAGCUUCCUGGGGAAAACUCCGGUGGUAUGGGAUGGGCCCGCGUCUGAUUAGCUCGUUGGCGGGGUAACGGCCCACCAAGGCGACGAUCAGUAGCCGGCCUGAGAGGGCGGCCGGCCACAUUGGGACUGAGACACGGCCCAGACUCCUGCGGGAGGCAGCAGUGGGGAAUAUUGCACAAUGGGGGAAACCCUGAUGCAGCGACGCCGCGUGAGCGAUGAAGUAUCUCGGUAUGUAAAGCUCUAUCAGCAGGGAAGAAAGUGACAGUACCUGACUAAGAAGCCCCGGCUAACUACGUGCCAGCAGCCGCGGUAAUACGUAGGGGGCAAGCGUUAUCCGGAUUCACUGGGCGUAAAGGGAGCGCAGGCGGCACGGCAAGUCUGGUGUGAAAACCCGGGGCUCAACCCCGGGACUGCAUUGGAAACUGCCGGGCUGGAGUGUCGGAGGGGUAAGCGGAAUUCCUAGUGUAGCGGUGAAAUGCGUA
rnacentral:rRNA from 1 species